rnacentral:lncRNA from 1 species
UUACAGGCGUGAGCCACCGCACCAAGCCAUGCCUGGCUAAUUUCGAAAAUUUCUGCAGAAAUGGGAUUUUGCUACGUUUCCCAGGCUGGUCCAUAAAUCUUUCGCAUGCCCAAUUCCGUAUAAUCAUCUGUCUUCUGGGGGAGCUGAGCUGUGAUGAUGGCACUGGAGUCAGACAACCUGACUGAGUAUUGGCUCUGCUACAUACUCAUCUAUCUCUUUGGGCCUCAGUUUCCCUGUCUGAGUUACAGAAUAAUGACAAUGAGAAUAAUAACACCAUGGCCGAGAAGAGCUAGUGAGUCAGCAAUAUAGCCCUUGGCAGGAUUGCCUGGCAGAAAAUGAGGACUGUAUACGUACAUCAUCCUCAUCCUCAUUCCUAAGGAGCUGGGGCUCUGGAGUCAGACCCACUUGGUCUGUUCCCCACUCUGCCAGUUUCUGGCUGUGUGGUCUCUGGCAAGAGUGCCAUGCCCUCUAAGCUUUGUUUGUAAAGUGGGGACAGACUCCUCCCUCUCAGGGUAGGGCACUGGCGAGGUCAAGCAUGGAAAGUCCCCGCGGAGCCUGGGAUGCUGUGGACAUGCAAUAACCAGGUUUUCCAGGCCCUGCCCUGGUGUUGAACAACUAAGAUUCCUGCCCUUGGGGAGCCACAGACUCGUCCAUCCAUCCAGGAGACAGUCAACAAGACAAGGAAAAUACAGCCAAUGAGCUGUGCCCUGAAACCCUCUGCCCUGCUGAAGAAUGGAGAGGACUCCCCCACCAGCACCUCCACCUAGGACACAUGGGAACUGUGGGACUUGGAGCAAAGUUUUCAAGUCUCUGUGCCUUAGUUUCCUCACCUGUAAGUUGGGGGAAUGAUAGUAACUGCUCUUAAGAGCUGCUGUAGGAAUUGAGAUCUUGCAUGAAAAAGGAUAAAACCAAUUGAUAUGGUUUAGUUCUUAGUCCCCACCCAAAUCUCAUGUCCAGUUAUGAUCCUCAGUGUAGGAGGAGGGACCUCGUGGGAGGUGAUUGGAUCGUGGGGGCAGUUUCUAAUGUUUUAGCACCAUCCUCCUAGUGCUGCUUGUUUAAAAGUGUGUAGCACCCCACCUUCCUCUCCUGCCGGCCAUGUGAAGACGUGCUUGCUUCCCUUUCACCAUCUGCCAUGAUUGUAAGUUUCCUGAGGUCUCCCCAGAAGCAGAAGCCUGUAUAGCCCACAGAAUCAUGAGCUGAUUAAACCUCUUUUCUUUAUAAAUUACCCAGUCUCAGGUAUGUCUUUAUAGCAAUGUGAGAAUGGACUAAUACACUGAUGCUCGAGAUAUAGGAGUGAUUAUUAUUUUGUGGUUAUUGUUAUUAUUCUUUCCUACACUCUUAAUGAAGGGGAUUGCACUACUUGAGAUAAUUCAGUAAAAGAGCACAGAGAUGCCCAGAGGGACGGAGGACCUGGUCUUGGGGACAUUUGAGCCUCCACCACACCCUGAGGCUAUGGGAUUUUGCUUGACCUAGAAACCUGAGCUGCUUCUCCUUCCCUCCUUCUGCCCCUCCUGCUGGCCUCAUUCUGCAUCAACUGCACACAAUCACAGCUCAGAGCAGCAGCUCCCAUCUUUCUCAAACCCCUGCUAUGGGGGCUGUGACUCUUACUCCUUGGGCUCAGGUGAGGAAGGCCAUUUUGCCUAGCUGAGGAGGUAGAAGUUCCAAAGCUUGGAGUGGCCAAGCCUGCCAGCUGCCCACCCGGGACCCAUUCUCUCUGCCUUUCUUAAUACAAGAACCUUGAUGUUAAUUGGGGCAGCAGCAUACCCAAGGCAAUGACUGCAAUUCCCUGCCUCCCUUGCAGCUAGGGUGGCCAUGGUACUAUGAGCUGGCCAAUCAGAUCUAAGCAGGGGUUGUUGGAUGGGCCUUAGGUAAAGUUCCCUUAAAAGGGGCACAGUCCAUAAACUGGCUAGGGGGAGUUUUUUUUUGUUUGUUUCCCUUUGUUCCCUUCUUUCUGCUUCUUGCCUGGAACAUGGAUGAGGCAGCUGUGACUCCAGCAGCCAUCUUGGGCCAUGAGGUGAUGGAGAGGAUGGAAACCCCAAGGUAAGGAUAAUGGAACAGAAGAAUAGAAGGAGCUGUGUCCCUGAUGACACUACAGGGCCUCCAUUCUAGCUCUGAACAAUCUGCUUCUGGAGAUUUUUUACGUUUGAGAAAUGAGAAAAAUAAUCUUCUAGCCAUAUA